ensembl:snRNA U6 U6 spliceosomal RNA
AAAUAUUUUUCUUUCUUCAGUAAUAAAUUAAGGAAUGAUACAGAGAAGAUCAGCAUGGCCCCUGUGCAAGGAUGACAUGUGAAUUAGUCUGUUCUCACAUUGCUAU